rnacentral:rRNA from 1 species
ACGAAGGGUGCAAGCGUUACUCGGAAUUACUGGGCGUAAAGCGUGCGUAGGCGGUUUGUUAAGUCCGUCGUGAAAUCCCCGGGCUCAACCUGGGAAUGGCGAUGGAUACUGGCGAGCUAGAGUGUGUCAGAGGAUGGUGGAAUUCCCGGUGUAGCGGUGAAAUGCGUAGAGAUCGGGAGGAACAUCUGUGGCGAAAGCGGCGCACUGGACCACAACUGACGUUGAGGCGCGAAAGCUAGGGGAGCAAACAGGA